rnacentral:rRNA from 1 species
AGUGAACGCUGGCGGUAGGCCUAACACAUGCAAGUCGAACGGCAGCACAGUAAGAGCUUGCUCUUACGGGUGGCGAGUGGCGGACGGGUGAGGAAUACAUCGGAAUCUACUUUUUCGUGGGGGAUAACGUAGGGAAACUUACGCUAAUACCGCAUACGACCUACGGGUGAAAGCAGGGGAUCCUCGGACCUUGCGCGAUUGAAUGAGCCGAUGUCGGAUUAGCUAGUUGGCGGGGUAAAGGCCCACCAAGGCGACGAUCCGUAGCUGGUCUGAGAGGAUGAUCAGCCACACUGGAACUGAGACACGGUCCAGACUCCUACGGGAGGCAGCAGUGGGGAAUAUUGGACGAUGGGCGCAAGCCUGAUCCAGCCAUACCGCGUGGGUGAAGAAGGCCUUCGGGUUGUAAAGCCCUUUUGUUGGGAAAGAAAAGCAGCAGGUUAAUACCCCGCUGUUCUGACGGUACCCAAAGAAUAAGCACCGGCUAACUUCG